rnacentral:rRNA from 1 species
AUUGAACGCUGGCGGCAGGCCUAACACAUGCAAGUCGAGCGGAGCGGCGGACGGGUGAGUAAAGUCUAGGAAUCAGCCUGGCAGUGGGGGGUAACGUCAGGAAACGAGGGCUGCUACCGCCUACCAUCAGAUGAUCCUAGGUUGUCUUAGCUAGUUGGUGGGGUAAAGGAAUAGCAAGGCGACGAUCCGUAAUUUGUCUGCGAGGAUGAUCAGUCACACUUGAGCUGAGACACGGUCCAGACUCCUACGUGAGGCAGCAGUGGGGAAUAGUGGACAAGGGGCAGAAGCCUGAUCCAGCCAUGCCGCGUGUGUGAAGCAUGUCUUCGGAUUGUAAAGCACUUUAAGUUGGGAAGCGGUACCAACAGAAUAAGCACCGGCUAACUUCGUGCCAGCAGCCGCGGUAAUAC